AGAUUGAACGCUGGCGGCAGGCCUAACACAUGCAAGUCGAGCGGUAGAGAGGUGCUUGCACCUCUUGAGAGCGGCGGACGGGUGAGUAAUGCCUAGGAAUCUGCCUAGUGGUGGGGGAUAACGUUCGGAAACGGACGCUAAUACCGCAUACGUCCUACGGGAGAAAGCGGGGGACCUUCGGGCCUCGCGCCAUUAGAUGAGCCUAGGUCGGAUUAGCUAGUUGGUGAGGUAAUGGCUCACCAAGGCGACGAUCCGUAACUGGUCUGAGAGGAUGAUCAGUCACACUGGAACUGAGACACGGUCCAGACUCCGUACGGGAGGUAGCGAGGUAGGGGAAUAGUUGGACAAGUGGGACGAAAGCCGUAGAUCCGAGCCGAUGCCGCGUGUGUAGAAGGAAGGUCGUUCGGUAGUUAGUAAAGACUAACGUUUAAGGUUAGGGAGGUAAGGGUUAGUUAAACUUAAGUUACGUUAG
rnacentral:rRNA from 1 species